rnacentral:rRNA from 1 species
GCCGGAGGGAAACCGAGUCUUAAUUGGGCGUUAAGUUGCAGGGUAUAGACCCGAAACCCGGUGAUCUAGCCAUGGGCAGGUUGAAGGUUGGGUAACACUAACUGGAGGACCGAACCGACUAAUGUUGAAAAAUUAGCGGAUGACCUGUGGCUGGGGGUGAAAGGCCAAUCAAACCGGGAGAUAGCUGGUUCUCCCCGAAAGCUAUUUAGGUAGCGCCUCGUGAAUUCAUCUCCGGGGGUAGAGCACUGUUUCGGCUAGGGGGCCAUCCCGGCUUACCAACCCGAUGCAAACUGCGAAUACCGGAGAAUGUUAUCACGGGAGACACACGGCGGGUGCUAACGUCCGUCGUGAAGAGGGAAACAACCCAGACCGCCAGCUAAGGUCCCAAAGUCAUGGUUAAGUGGGAAACGAUGUGGGAAGGCCCAGACAGCCAGGAUGUUGGCUUAGAAGCAGCCAUCAUUUAAAGAAAGCGUAAUAGCUCACUGGUCGAGUCGGCCUGCGCGGAAGAUGUAACGGGGCUAAACCAUGCACCGAAGCUGCGGCAGCGACGCUGAUGCGUUGUUGGGUAGGGGAGCGUUCUGUAAGCCUGCGAAGGUGGCCUGUGAGGGUUGCUGGAGGUAUCAGAAGUGCGAAUGCUGACAUAAGUAACGAUAAAGCGGGUGAAAAGCCCGCUCGCCGGAAGACCAAGGGUUCCUGUCCAACGUUAAUCGGGGCAGGGUGAGUCGACCCCUAAGGCGAGGCCGAAAGGCGUAGUCGAUGGGAAACGGGUUAAUAUUCCCGUACUUGGUGUUACUGCGAAGGGGGGACGGAGAAGGCUAUGUUGGCCGGGCGACGGUUGUCCCGGUUUAAGCGUGUAGGUGUGUGUUCCAGGUAAAUCCGGUUCACUUUAACACUGAGGCGUGAUGACGAGGCACUACGGUGCUGAAGCAACAAAUGCCCUGCUUCCAGGAAAAGCCUCUAAGCAUCAGGUAACAUCAAAUCGUACCCCAAACCGACACAGGUGGUCAGGUAGAGAAUACCAAGGCGCUUGAGAGAACUCGGGUGAAGGAACUAGGCAAAAUGGUGCCGUAACUUCGGGAGAAGGCACGCUGACACGUAGGUGAAGUGAUUUACUCAUGGAGCUGAAGUCAGUCGAAGAUACCAGCUGGCUGCAACUGUUUAUUAAAAACACAGCACUGUGCAAACACGAAAGUGGACGUAUACGGUGUGACGCCUGCCCGGUGCCGGAAGGUUAAUUGAUGGGGUCAGCGCAAGCGAAGCUCCUGAUCGAAGCCCCGGUAAACGGCGGCCGUAACUAUAACGGUCCUAAGGUAGCGAAAUUCCUUGUCGGGUAAGUUCCGACCUGCACGAAUGGCGUAAUGAUGGCCAGGCUGUCUCCACCCGAGACUCAGUGAAAUUGAACUCGCUGUGAAGAUGCAGUGUACCCGCGGCAAGACGGAAAGACCCCGUGAACCUUUACUAUAGCUUGACACUGAACAUUGAGCCUUGAUGUGUAGGAUAGGUGGGAGGCUUUGAAGUGUGGACGCCAGUCUGCAUGGAGCCGACCUUGAAAUACCACCCUUUAAUGUUUGAUGUUCUAACGUGGACCCGUGAUCCGGGUUGCGGACAGUGUCUGGUGGGUAGUUUGACUGGGGCGGUCUCCUCCUAAAGAGUAACGGAGGAGCACGAAGGUUGGCUAAUCCUGGUCGGACAUCAGGAGGUUAGUGCAAUGGCAUAAGCCAGCUUGACUGCGAGCGUGACGGCGCGAGCAGGUGCGAAAGCAGGUCAUAGUGAUCCGGUGGUUCUGAAUGGAAGGGCCAUCGCUCAACGGAUAAAAGGUACUCCGGGGAUAACAGGCUGAUACCGCCCAAGAGUUCAUAUCGACGGCGGUGUUUGGCACCUCGAUGUCGGCUCAUCACAUCCUGGGGCUGAAGUAGGUCCCAAGGGUAUGGCUGUUCGCCAUUUAAAGUGGUACGCGAGCUGGGUUUAGAACGUCGUGAGACAGUUCGGUCCCUAUCUGCCGUGGGCGCUGGAGAACUGAGGGGGGCUGCUCCUAGUACGAGAGGACCGGAGUGGACGCAUCACUGGUGUUCGGGUUGUCAUGCCAAUGGCACUGCCCGGUAGCUAAAUGCGGAAGAGAUAAGUGCUGAAAGCAUCUAAGCACGAAACUUGCCCCGA